GCAUGGGGUCCAGUAGGAGGACCAAGAGAGACUGGUAGAGGUUCAGAGACGGAACAUACCAACUCAACAUGCCAUCAGGUUAUCAACGCCACCAAGUAAGAGAGGUGCAACUGGAAGCUGAAAUUCAUUCCAUUCCAGGACAUUGCAUAGCACUGUUUGAGGCAUAUGAAGUGGACGAAUGAAGCACAGAUAUCAUCUCCAAAGAGCGGCUGGCAAGAUCCCGCAGUAAGCAGAUGUUCCGCCAGCACCUCCUGGACUUCUGGAGCUCUCAAAGUAGUAAACAGGGUUAUCACAUUGCAAUGAACUCCCAAGAUCUCUGGAUGGGAUCCAUUUUCCAUCCCCUUCAUGGGAAUGAUCCAGG
ensembl:lncRNA